CAGUCGCCGCGGUAAUACGAAGGGUGCAAGCGUUACUCGGAAUUACUGGGCGUAAAGCGUGCGUAGGUGGUGGUUUAAGUCCGUUGUGAAAGCCCUGGGCUCAACCUGGGAAUUGCAGUGGAUACUGGGUCACUAGAGUGUGGUAGAGGAUAGUGGAAUUUCCGGUGUAGCAGUGAAAUGCGUAGAGAUCGGAAGGAACAUCUGUGGCGAAGGCGACUAUCUGGGCCAACACUGACACUGAGGUACGAAAGCGUGGGGAGCAAACAGGAUUAGAUACCCCCGUAGUCCCUGUCUCUUAUAC
rnacentral:rRNA from 1 species